UGUCCCAGUGCGAGGUUAAAUUAAGUAUUCUUGCUUAGGUUUACUGCUAAAUCCGCCUUUGUACAGGUUUUCAGUGUAUAGUUCGUUGUUAUCUGGGGCAGAUAAUGUAGCCCAUUAACACCACCCCAUUAGCUACACCUUGACCUGACUUUCUAGUAUACUACUAUUAUGCUUACUGUAAUGCUUUUAAAAGGUAAGCUGGCGACGGCGGUAUAUAGGCUGGGUGAAAUAUAUGUUACGAGGGGUGGUUAGGUGUAUCGGGGGUUAUCGAUUAUGAAACAGGCUCCUCUAGGCAGGUGGAACACCGUCAAGUCUUUUGAGUUUUAGGCCAAGGAAUAAAAGAGAUGCCCGUAAUUUUCUGGCGAAUUGGUUAAAUCAUA
rnacentral:rRNA from 1 species